GACGUAGGGCGCGAGCGUUGUCCGGAUUUAUUGGGCGUAAAGAGCUCGUAGGCGGCUUGUCGCGUCGUCCGUGAAAACCCGCGGCUCAACCGUGUGGUCUGCAGUCGAUACGGGCAGGCUAGAGUUCGGUAGGGGAGACUGGAAUUCCUGGUGUAGCGGUGAAAUGCGCAGAUAUCAGGAGGAACACCGGUGGCGAAGGCGGGUCUCUGGGCCAAUACUGACGCUGAGGAGCGAAAGCGUGGGGAGCGAACAGG
rnacentral:rRNA from 1 species